UCAGCGGCGGACGGGUGAGUAAUGCCUAGGAAUCUGCCUGGUAGUGGGGGACAACGUUUCGAAAGGAUCGCUAAUACCGCAUACGUCCUACGGGAGAAAGCAGGGGACCUUCGGGCCUUGCGCUAUCAGAUGAGCCUAGGUCGGAUUAGCUAGUUGGUGGGGUAAUGGCUCACCAAGGCGACGAUCCGUAACUGGUCUGAGAGGAUGAUCAGUCACACUGGAACUGAGACACGGUCCAGACUCCUACGGGAGGCAGCAGUGGGGAAUAUUGGACAAUGGGCGAAAGCCUGAUCCAGCCAUGCCGCGUGUGUGAAGAAGGUCUUCGGAUUGUAAAGCACUUUAAGUUGGGAGGAAGGGCAGUAAGUUAAUACCUUGCUGUUUUGACGUUACCGACAGAAUAAGCGGCUAACUCUGUGCCAGCAGCCGCGGUAAUACAGAGGGUGCAAGCGUUAAUCGGAAUUACUGGGCGUAAAGCGCGCGUAGGUGGUUUGUUAAGUUGGAUGUGAAAGCCCCGGGCUCAACCUGGGAACUGCUCCAAAACUGGCAAGCUAGAGUACGGUAGAGGGUGGUGGAAUUUCCUGUGUAGCGGUGAAAUGCGUAGAUAUAGGAAGGAACACCAGUGGCGAAGGCGACC
rnacentral:rRNA from 1 species